UACAGAGGAUGCAAGCGUUAUCCGGAAUGAUUGGGCGUAAAGCGUCUGUAGGUGGCUUUUUAAGUCCGCCGUCAAAUCCCAGGGCUCAACUCUGGACAGGCGGUGGAAACUACCAAGCUGGAGUACGGUAGGGGCAGAGGGAAUUUCCGGUGGAGCGGUGAAAUGCGUAGAGAUCGGAAAGAACACCCGUGGCUAAGGCGGCUCUCUAGUACGGUACUGACGCUGAGACGCGAAAGCGUGGGGAGCGAACAGG
rnacentral:rRNA from 1 species